rnacentral:rRNA from 1 species
CUCCAGACUCCUACGGGAGGCAGCAGUGGGGAAUAUUGCACAAUGGGGGAAACCCUGAUGCAGCGACGCCGCGUGAGCGAUGAAGUAUUUCGGUAUGUAAAGCUCUAUCAGCAGGGAAGAAAAUGACGGUACCUGACUAAGAAGCCCCGGCUAACUACGUGCCAGCAGCCGCGGUAAUACGUAGGGGGCAAGCGUUAUCCGGAUUUACUGGGUGUAAAGGGAGCGUAGACGGCAAUGCAAGCCAGAUGUGAAAGCCCGGGGCUCAACCCCGGGACUGCAUUUGGAACUGUGUAGCUGGAGUGUCGGAGAGGCAGGCGGAAUUCCUAGUGUAGCGGUGAAAUGCGUAGAUAUUAGGAGGAACACCAGUGGCGAAGGCGGCCUGCUGGACGAUGACUGACGUUGAGGCUCGAAAGCGUGGGGAGCAAACAGGAUUAGAUACCCGUGUA